rnacentral:lncRNA from 1 species
CAGCUCGCGAGGGCUUCCCUGAGACAUUGCCACACAAGCCUGCAGCGCAUUUAUGAAUGAGCAAACAAGUACCUUAAACUUAUAAUAGCUUCUUAAGUGUCACAGGUUUGCCGAUGGCAGACUAACAACGUCCAAAAGUACGCGCUUUCAUCUCACAUACCCGAGACUGGGCCCGCCCACGGGCAGAAUCCUGCAAAUGCGCGACCUUCAAGCAAUAUGAAGUUAAUAAAAGCCAAAAGAAGUGCGCUGCGGCGCAUUAGGCAUUACAAAUUCGCCCACCGCCGGCGUUACCCGUAAUUACCCCACCGCCGGCGUUACGCACUUCGCCGGCAUUUUCCUAAGAUGCUGCAACGAAGCGUUUCACUGUAUAAAGAGCGCUUUGCUCAUACAAAGUAUCGUAGUCUGCAUUGUACCUACAGCUCCACAAGUAAAACGCGUACCUGCAGUGUAACAUAAAUGUCCUCUCA